rnacentral:rRNA from 1 species
CACGUAGGGGGCAAGCGUUGUCCGGAUUUACUGGGUUUAAAGGGUGCGUAGGUGGGUUGGUAAGUCAGUGGUGAAAUACUUUCGCUUAACGAAGGAACUGCCAUUGAUACUAUCAAUCUUGAAUGUAGUGGAGGUAGGCGGAAUGCGUCAUGUAGCGGUGAAAUGCUUAGAUAUGACGCAGAACACCAAUUGCGAAGGCAGCUUGCUACACUACUAUUGACACUGAGGCACGAAAGCGUGGGGAUCAAACAGG